rnacentral:rRNA from 1 species
CCUACGGGCUGCACCAGUGGGGAAUAUUGCACAAUGGGCGCAAGCCUGACGCAGCCAUGCCGCGUGUAUGAAGAAGGCCUUCGGGUUGUAAAGUACUUUCAGCGGGGAGGAAGGCGAUAAGGUUAAUAACCUUGUCGAUUGACGUUACCCGCAGAAGAAGCACCGGCUAACUCCGUGCCAGCAGCCGCGGUAAUACGGAGGGUGCAAGCGUUAAUCGGAAUUACCGGGCGCAAAGCGCACGCAGGCGGUCUGUCAAGUCGGAUGUGAAAUCCCCGGGCUCAACCUGGGAACUGCAUUCGAAACUGGCAGGCUAGAGUCUUGUAGAGGGGGGUAGAAUUCCGGGUGUAGCGGUGAAAUGCGUAGAGGUCUGGAGGAAUACCGGUGGCGAAGGCGGCCCCCUGGACAAAGACUGACGCUCAGGUGCGAAAGCGUGGGGAGCAAACAGGAUUAGAUACCCCGGUAGUC